rnacentral:rRNA from 1 species
AGCGAACGCUGGCGGCAGGCCUAACACAUGCAAGUCGAACGAACUCUUCGGAGUUAGUGGCGGACGGGUGCGUAACACGUGGGAACGUGCCUUUUGGUUCGGAAUAACUCAGGGAAACUUGUGCUAAUACCGAAUGUGCCCUUCGGGGGAAAGAUUUAUCGCCAUUAGAGCGGCCCGCGUCUGAUUAGCUAGUUGGUGAGGUAACGGCUCACCAAGGCGACGAUCAGUAGCUGGUCUGAGAGGAGGACCAGCCACACUGGGACUGAGACACGGCCCAGACUCCUACGGGAGGCAGCAGUGGGGAAUCUUGCGCAAUGGGCGAAAGCCUGACGCAGCCAUGCCGCGUGAAUGAUGAAGGUCUUAGGAUUGUAAAAUUCUUUCACCGGGGACGAUAAUGACGGUACCCGGAGAAGAAGCCCCGGCUAACUUCGUG